UGGGUAACCUGCCCAAGAGAUCGGGAUAACACCUGGAAACAGAUGCUAAUACCGGAUAACAACAGAUGAUGCCUAUCAACUGUUUAAAAGAUGGUUCUGCUAUCACUCUUGGAUGGACCUGCGGUGCAUUAGCUAGUUUGUGGGGUAAAGGCCUACCAAGGCAAUGAUGCGUAGCCGAGUUGAGAGACUGAUCGGCCACAUUGGGACUUAGACACGGCCCAAACUCCUACGGGAGGCAGCAGAC
rnacentral:rRNA from 1 species